AAAAAUCUAGUUAUAUUGAGGAAAAGCCAUCUUUCCGCUGACCAAAGAAUCCAGAUAGGAAAACAAUUGAAAACUCAUUGUUGGUCCUUGUAUCAGCUUAUGCCCAUAAACAGUGGCGUUGUUCUUCUAAAAGAUCAUAGUCAUGCAUAUAAUUGCAGCGGUGCCAUAUUGCUUGCCCCCACUCCAGGGAUCAUACAGCUCCAACUUUUGUGGGAGAGACGGGUCGCCAAGGUGGAAUUGAAGUGAUAUGGUGGCUUGAUAAGACAAGCGCAUACUGUGACCAAGAUAGUCUUCAUUAUUUACACAGACAUUGCUACUUGCUGUACUUUUCACACAUCAAUAAACAAAUGUUCAAAUUUU